AGAAACUAAAUAGGAUUCCCCCAGUAAUGGCGAAUGAACAGGGAAGAGCUCAGCAUGGAAAUCGGGGCCUCCCGGCCUUGAAUUGUAGUCUUGAGAUGUACUGCCAACGGAGGCGCAGAUGUAAGCCUCUUGGAAAAGAGCAUCAACGAGGGUGAGAGUCCCGUUUGUCAUCUGCAGUCCCCCGUGUACGGUGUACAUUCUAAGAGUCACGUUCCUCGGGAUUGGAGCGCAAAGUGGGUGGUAAAUUUCAUCUAAAGCUAAAUAUUGGUUCGAGACCGAUAGCAAACAAGUACCAUGAGGGAAAGGUGAAAAGGACUUUGAAAAGAGAGUUAAAAGUGCCUGAAAUUGCUGAAAGGGAAGCGAAUGGAACCAGUGUUCUUGAUGAGAUUGUCGUGUACUCUGGUGAUUGCUGGGUGCUCCACCGCAAGGGGGGCAUUUGGUUUUGAGCUAGAUGCGCGUGGUGUUUCUUGUCUUGUGUGUCACCGUCGGUGCAUGAGCGAGUAAACCUCCAGGGAGAUGGUAUCUUGACCGCGGUUGAGUGAAUGUCUCUGGCAGUACUCAUUUAUGUAUCGAUCCCUGCGUGUCUGGUUGCAGUGUUUGAGUCGUCUGGAAGCUCCUGAAAGGCUUGCCCUCGAAGGACUUUCUGGGCACCUCGAGCAUCUCCCUGACACAAAGACGAUGACUAAAUGGUUCUAUUCGACCCGUCUUGA
rnacentral:rRNA from 1 species